rnacentral:tRNA from 1 species
GCCCCUGUAGCCCAAUGGCAGAGGCGGGCUCCCUAAAAGAGCCAACGUGUCGGUUCGAGUCCGACCAGGGGCACCC